CCAAGCAACGGCCUCCCCGCCCCACGGGGUCAGCUCCGCAGCACUGGACUGACUGCCUCGCCCGCCCAGCAGGGGGCCGCGGGGCGGGAGUCCCGAGCCGGCAGAGCAGGGCGGCAACAGCUCUGUGGUGGGGCCCAGAUAGACUCAGCAGGCGCAUCGGCCAGUGUCCGCGGCUACCAGGCGCAUGCGCAACAUAGCACGGGCAAAAAGAAUGUGCGCAUGCGCUAAUAUCCGGGAACUCUCUCAAUUCUAAUAUGUUACUGGGGAGCUGCAGUAUAAGGUCCCUUCGAUAGCUCAGCUGGUAGAGCGGAGGACUGUAGAGGAACUGCGGGAAUCCUUAGGUCGCUGGUUCGAUUCCGGCUCGAAGGAGACGCUCUUUUUCUUUCCUGUCAAUUUUUAUUUGGACAUUGAUUUAUUUACGAUGGUGGUCUUACAAUACUGGCUCAAGUCUGGGCCUUGAAUUAGAUCUCAAGAAUAUGAAGACAAUGGUAAAGAAAGAAAAAAAAUGAGGAUUAAAAUGCAAAGAAGAGAGCAGGAGUCAGAGUAAGAAGGACUGGCUACAAACAUCAUCUUCAGUGCAAGAUCUCCAGUGCAACUGACUUGGAAGCCAGAAUUCCAUAUAAUGCUUCUCCUGAUGUGGAUAAAGUCCGUUGCCUUUGUUCAGCCAUCUUAUCUGUGCAUUACCAAGUCUACCGAGGAGGAAAAAAGAACAACUGGGAUUGCAUAUGUAGGGA